rnacentral:rRNA from 1 species
UACGGGGGGGGCAAGCGUUGUUCGGAAUUACUGGGCGUAAAGGGCUCGUAGGCGGCCAACUAAGUCAGACGUGAAAUCCCUCGGCUUAACCGGGGAACUGCGUCUGAUACUGGAUGGCUUGAAUCCGGGAGAGGGAUGCGGAAUUCCAGGUGUAGCGGUGAAAUGCGUAGAUAUCUGGAGGAACACCGGUGGCGAAGGCGGCAUCCUGGACCGGCAUUGACGCUGAGACGCGAAAGCGUGGGGAGCAAACAGGG